rnacentral:miRNA from 1 species
AACUGAAUGUCAACCACAUGGUAAAGAUUUUACACACACACACACAUAUAUAUAUAUAUAUACAUGUGUGUGUAUAUAUGUGUGUAUAUAUAUAUAUAUGUGUGUAUAUAUAAUA